ACUUCGGCAAAAUACACACUAAAAUUGGAACAAAGCAGAGGAUCAGCAUGACCCUUGCUCAAGGAUGACAGGCAAAUUCACGAAGCAUUCCAUAUUUUU
ensembl:snRNA U6 U6 spliceosomal RNA